GUGGCCUGGUGUGUAGGAGUCCCAUAUGGAGGCUGUUGAGGAUACAGGCUCUGGAUUGGUCGGUUUGCAGGGAAAAGGUGAACUUCCAGACGGAGUGUCCGUAAGUGACAGGGGCUAAUCUUCAUCCGAAUGAGAUUAUCUUUCUCUUCAAAGAACCCAGUGGGAAAAGGCA